UACAGAGGUGGCAAGCGUUGUUCGGAAUUACUGGGCGUAAAGGGCGCGUAGGCGGCCUUCUAAGUCAGACGUGAAAUCCCCCGGCUUAACCUGGGAACUGCGUCUGAUACUGGGAGGCUUGAGUAUGGGAGAGGGAUGUAGAAUUCCAGGUGUAGCGGUGAAAUGCGUAGAUAUCGGGAGGAACACCAGUGGCGAAGGCGACUACCUGGCCUGUUCUUGACGCUGAGGCGCGAAAGCUAGGGGAGCAAACGGG
rnacentral:rRNA from 1 species